CGGGAGCACGGACUUCGUGUCUGGUGGCGAGUGGCGAACGGGUGAGUAAUAUAUCGGAACGUACCCAGUAGUGGGGGAUAACUAUCCGAAAGGAUAGCUAAUACCGCAUACGAUCUAAGGAUGAAAGCAGGGGAUCUUCGGACCUUGUGCUAUUGGAGCGGCCGAUAUCUGAUUAGCUAGUUGGUGAGGUAAAAGCUCACCAAGGCGACGAUCAGUAGCUGGUCUGAGAGGACGACCAGCCACACUGGAACUGAGACACGGUCCAGACUCCUACGGGAGGCAGCAGUGGGGAAUUUUGGACAAUGGGCGCAAGCCUGAUCCAGCAAUGCCGCGUGAGUGAAGAAGGCCUUCGGGUUGUAAAGCUCUUUUGUCAGGGAAGAAAAGGUGCGCUCUAACCAUAGCGUACUGAUGAACGGUACCUGAAGGAAUAAGCACCGGCCUAACUACGUGCCAGCAGCCGCGGUAAUACGUAGGGUGCAAGCGUUAAUCGGAAUUACUGGGCGUAAAGCGUGCGCAGGCGGUUUUAUAAGUCUGAUGUGAAAUCCCCGGGCUCAACCUGGGAACUGCAUUGGAGACUGUAAGGCUAGAGUGUGUCAGAGGGGGGUAGAAUUCCACGUGUAGCAGUGAAAUGCGUAGAUAUGUGGAGGAAUACCGAUGGCGAAGGCAGCCCCCUGGGAUAACACUGACGCUCAUGCACGAAAGCGUGGGGAGCAAACAGGAUUAGAUACCCUGGUAGUCCACGCCCUAAACGAUGUCUACUAGUUGUCGGGACUUAAUUGUCUUGGUAACGCAGCUAACGCGUGAAGUAGACCGCCUGGGGAGUACGGUCGCAAGAUUAAAACUCAAAGGAAUUGACGGGGACCCGCACAAGCGGUGGAUGAUGUGGAUUAAUUCGAUGCAACGCGAAAAACCUUACCUACCCUUGACAUGGCAGGAAUUCCGAAGAGAUUUGGAAGUGCUCGCAAGAGAACCUGCACACAGGGUGCUGCAUGGCUGUCGUCAGCUCGUGUCGUGAGAUGUUGGGUUAAGUCCCGCAACGAGCGCAACCCUUGUCAUUAGUUGCUACGAAAGGGCACUCUAAUGAGACUGCCGGUGACAAACCGGAGGAAGGUGGGGAUGACGUCAAGUCCUCAUGGCCCUUAUGGGUAGGGCUUCACACGUCAUACAAUGGUACAUACAGAGGGCCGCCAACCCGCGAGGGGGAGCUAAUCCCAGAAAGUGUAUCGUAGUCCGGAUUGUAGUCUGCAACUCGACUACAUGAAGUUGGAAUCGCUAGUAAUCGCGGAUCAGCAUGUCGCGGUGAAUACGUUCCCGGGUCUUGUACACACCGCCCGUCACACCAUGGGAGCGGGUUCUGCCAGAAGUAGGUAGCUUAACCGUAAGGAGGGCGCUUACCACGGCAGGGUUCG
rnacentral:rRNA from 1 species